AAAGGUGAUGUUUGACUUCCUGUACAGCUGCAAUUCGUGUGGUGAAGGUGCUCCCACAAUGUGGUUGGAGACAGGCUCCAGUGACUUCAUGGGGGCUACAACUCCCACAGUACCUGUGGCAGGGACCGCACGUGUGUGGGGAAACCCUGCACGCUACAUGUGCAGAAUGUGAGCGGGUUUUGGAACAUGUGCUUUGGGGUGCUAGAUGGUGAAGAUUUGCAGACUGAAAUCUCAAAGUCAUGUGCAGAUUGUGAUUAAGUUAACCAGCAUUUGAAGAACCAAAGAUAGAGAAUCACUCCACCAAAAUCCUGCAACACUCUCCCUCCCAGCAUUGUCGGUCUCUCUGCACCAAAUGGACUGUGAAUGGUACAAGACAGCAGCUCACUACCAUCUUCUCCAGGGUAACUAGAGAUGGGGAAUAAAUGCUGGCUGAGCCAGUGAUGCCCAUAUCCUGGAAAUGGUUUCUA